GGAUGGAGGUGGCUAGCGGGGUGACUGGAUCGACGGAAGCCGAUCCGCCGCCGGUCCGGAGAUCGAUCUCUAGGCUUUCUCGCGAACCAUUUCCGGUCCACCUUGACUAUCUCCUCUAUGGGCUCCUUCCACCCAACGGGGCCACUUCGGGCCCGCAAGGGAAGAUCGUGGAGGAGGCGAGGAGGCACGGGAGAACGGGAGAGGGCGCGCGGGAGAGCCGGGAACACUCCAGCUUUCUCCGUGGUGAAGUGCUCAUCUAGAUCCGUGGUGGCUUCUCUCAGCACUGGCAGAACAAAAGGAUGAAUGGUCUAGAGGAUGAUGUGGAUGAACUCAACUCCAGGGUUAAAGGAGCAAAUCACCGUGCACGUCGUUUGCUCAGGAAAUAAUAUUGCUAUUAAAAUGUUGAUUGCAUUCUCGGCAUUUCAUGUCACAGAACCAAACAUUUCUGCUACUGCCUUGCUAAGCAUACCCUUGUAACUUCUCUUGGAGAGGAAGAAAAUAUCAUUGCAAGUUG